AACCCAAUGAAGCAAGACAUUGUCUUGUGGACGCUGGCUUCUGAGGGGUGGCCAGAGGCAAAGCACACAGAACAAAGGUGAAGGCGCCUCUGUCCUCUUCCCUGACCAAACAGAGCUAAAGUAUUGUGCUCGCUUCUGGGUCCCACAGUUUAAGAAGGACUCACUGAGCUGGAGAGCCUCCAAAGAAGAAGGAUCACCUCACACCCUCCCAAGCUUUUAAGAGGAAGCGAGAAAACUCAGCAGUUAAGAGUCAGCUUUUUACUCACCACAUGUCAGUCCAAAGGAAAAGAUUUUAGAACAGCCUCACCAGGAACAAAGUCUCGGACCUGGUCAGCAGAUUCUCCACCAGCCUCCACUCCAAAGAAUGAAGAAUGAAGAAGUCCCUCACAGGAAGUUGUAAUUCCUUUUAAAGACGCUUUCUUUUGUGUCACUUCCUGUGUCUUCCUCCAUUUUUUACAUGGGCAAAUCAUAGUCUAAAGCCCUGCCUGACUCUCCAUCCAGUGAACUACCCAGCUGUCCCCAGAGAUCAUUUUAAUUAUAACAAAAUCAUCAUGUUGUGCUCAAUGAAGCUGUUCCCCUCUGGGAAUGGGACUUCAGCUAGGUUGCCAUUGGGCUUGGAAUGAGGCUAGGUGUGUACUCUCAUAUGAGGGGACAGAAUAAAUGCUGUGUGUGGUUGUCUCUGAGAAGCAUUGCUUCCUUUUUUUUUUAAGUUAACGUAGGUUAAGUGACUUGCCCAGGGUCACAGCUAGGAAGUAUCUGAGGUCAGAUUUGAACCUAGGACCUCCCGUCUUUAGGCCUGGCUCCCAAUCUCAAUCUUGAAGCCCUACUGCCCUCAAAAGCAUUGCUUCCUGCUCCCAGCUGAUGGGCUCAUCUCUUUGAGGCUGGCGCUGGCAGCUGGAUACUUUAAACUCUGGCUAGCCAGGAAUUUGUACCAUGUGAGAAAUGGUGUGAGGAAGGAAGGAGAAGAGCAGGUUUUCAUGGGCCUUGGUAACUGUCUCCUAGGACUGGAAGAAUUUUCUUGAACCAGAGAGAUUUGACUCAUUCUGUCUGUAGUAACUACAGAGUAAGUUAUUCAUUGUUCCAGCCUGCCUGGUGCUCAUGAGGGUUUGUCCUAACCCAAAAUAAUUAGGAAAGAAUCAUGUUAAAAUUGGAUAAGAAAGAAAGAAAGAAAGAAAGAAAGAAAGAAAGAAAGAAAGAAAGAAAGAAAGAAAGAAAGAAAGAAAGAAAGAAAGAAAGAAAGAAAGAAAGAAAGAAAGAAAGAAAGAAAGAAAGAAAGAAAGAGAGAAAGAAAGAAAGAAAGAAGAGUAAAGGAAAAAAGGAAAAGAUGGAGGAUGUC